rnacentral:rRNA from 1 species
GACGAACGCUGGCGGCGUGCUUAACACAUGCGAGUCGAACGGAAAGGCCCUGCUUUUGUGGGGUGCUCGAGUGGCGAACGGGUGAGUAACACGUGAGUAACCUGCCCUUGACUUUGGGAUAACUUCAGGAAACUGGGGCUAAUACCGGAUAGGAGCCCCUGCUGCAUGGAGGGGGUUGGAAAGUUUCGGCGGUUGGGGAUGGACUCGCGGCUUAUCAGCUUGUUGGUGGGGUAGUGGCUUACCAAGGCUUUGACGGGUAGCCGGCCUGAGAGGGUGACCGGCCACAUUGGGACUGCGAUACGGCCCAGACUCCUACGGGAGGCAGCAGUGGGGAAUAUUGCACAAUGGGCGGAAGCCUGAUGCAGCAACGCCGCGUGCGGGAUGACGGCCUUCGGGUUGUAAACCGCUUUCGCCUGUGACGAAGCGUGAGUGACGGUAAUGGGUAAAGAAGCACCGGCUAACUACGUG